AUUGAACGCUGGCGGCAGGCUUAACACAUGCAAGUCGAGCGAGUGGCGGACGGGUGAGUAAUGUAUGGGAAAGUGCCUGAUGGUGGGGGAUAACUACUCGAAACGGUAGCUAAUACCGCAUACUAUCCGAUGUGCCCAGAUGGGAUUAGCUAGUAGGUGGGGUAAUGGCUUACCAAGGCGACGAUCCCUAGCGGGUCUGAGAGGAUGACCGGCCACACUGGAACUGAGACACGGUCCAGACUCCUACGGGAGGCAGCAGUGGGGAAUAUUGCACAAUGGGCGCAAGCCUGAUGCAGCCAUGCCGCGUGUGUGAAGAAGGCCUUCGGGUUGUAAAGCACUUUCGGCGAGGAGGCGUUACUCGCAGAAGAAGCACCGGCUAACUCCGUGCCAGCAGCCGCGGUAAUAC
rnacentral:rRNA from 1 species